rnacentral:misc_RNA from 1 species
AAAUUUCAGUUAAAAAAAAAGACAUUCUGGUUUUUUGGUUAAUUAUUGAUAGCUUUGACAAAAGAAGGACGAACCCACCUUUAAAAAAGAGAUUGAUAAAUUUGAAUUGAAAACUAAUUUAAUUUUUAUGUCAAAUGUAAUGUGAGGGUUUUACAUAUAAUGAACAGACUAGUUUUUCAGCUGCUUAGUUUGUAGAAUGUAUUCUCCAAAGAGCUGAGUUCUACCACUCAAGAGCUGUCAAUUUGAGAGCUUGAUUUAGAUUUGUAGUGCUACAUGUAUGAAACCCAGUCCGGAUGAUUUGAGUCAGAAGCCAUUGUAAUGGGCCUGGUUCUCUUUGAUUGUGAGGGUCCAGGUAAACCAGUGUUUCCUCUGGGCACAACUGCUGACCAGUUUGAGGAUCGGUGAAUGGAGUUGGUUUGUGUCAGAUUUUUGUACAGGUAAAUGUAUUGUUUUAUUGGUUGGAUACUUUACUUUAAUUUAAUACUGGGCUGAGGGAUUUUCCAGUUUAUCAAUCAUUGUUUUAUUAAGAUGCAUCCUUGUGUUGAAAGUACUCUGUACUCUGCAUUAUUUUGAGAAAGUUCCUUAUUUGUAUUGUUGUCAGAAAUUGAGGGCGAUGAAAAUUAAAAAGAAGGAAUUUAAAGCUGUGGGUAUGCAGGGCUAAUUCUUUGUGUGUUAAAGUAUUUUGUUUUUUGUUUAUUCUUGAUUUUUUCAGUAAAAAAAAUAUUUAAGCAGAUGUCCAAGAAGUCAGAAUAAUUGCCUUUUUCCAGGGCAAUGUAAAAGGUUGUUCCAUUGUUCAGCUUUGGGAGUUCAGACACAUGAAUUUGUUGUAUUGUGUCUCAGUAAUGGUGGUACAUUUUCUUUCUGUGUGAUUUUGUCGCUGGAAUUGGCCUUUUCAAUAAGUGCAAUUUAAAUUGUUCAUUGUUAAAAAGUCUUCUAAACACCAUUUAUGUAAAGCUAAAAUAACAAAAUCUUCAAAAUUAUCGUGAACUGUUUUUACCACUACAUACAAGCCUUUCAGCAUACUGUACUAUAUUUUAGAUUCAACAUGUGAAGCUACCAGGAGAUGCUGAGGAGGACUGUUCAUAACAAGGGACAAUGAAAAGUGCCAGUACUAUGACAUAGUACGGUAGCAGUUGAAAGAUUCGCAGAAAACUUUUUUUUCUGUAUACAAGCUUUGAUGAUUCUGGAAUAAAUAGGAAGCAGAAGUAGAGCCAAAAGCAACACUAAAUAAAGAAAGGCAGAACAGGAACAACUCAAAGGAUUGUGACGACACAGAGAGAAAGCAAUUGUUAAUAGACCAGUUCUUAACAAAAUAAAUGUUAUUAAUGAC